rnacentral:rRNA from 1 species
UACGUAGGUGACCAGCGUUGUCCGGCUUUACUGGGCGUAAAGAGCGCGCAGGCGGUCGUUCAAGUCGAGUGUGAAAGCCCCCGGCUCAACUGGGGAGGGUCAUUCGAUACUGAUCGACUCGAAGGCAGGAGAGGGAAGCGGAAUUCCCGGUGUAGUGGUGAAAUGCGUAGAUAUCGGGAGGAACACCAGUGGCGAAGGCGGCUUCCUGGCCUGUUCUUGACGCUGAGGCGCGAAAGUUAGGGGAGCAAACGGG